rnacentral:miRNA from 1 species
ACGUGCGUGGUAGUUUAACCU